rnacentral:rRNA from 1 species
UACAGAGGGUGCGAGCGUUAAUCGGAAUUACUGGGCGUAAAGCGUGCGCAGGCGGUUCGCUAAGACCGAUGUGAAAUCCCCGGGCUUAACCUGGGAACUGCAUAGGUGACUGGCGGGCUAGAGUAUGGCAGAGGGGGGUAGAAUUCCACGUGUAGCAGUGAAAUGCGUAGAGAUGUGGAGGAAUACCGAUGGCGAAGGCAGCCCCCUGGGCCAAUACUGACGCUCAUGCACGAAAGCGUGGGGAGCAAACAGG